rnacentral:rRNA from 1 species
AGGACGAACGCUGGCGGCGUGCUUAACACAUGCAAGUCGAGCGAGGCUCUCUCCUUCGGGAGGGAUGCCCUAGCGGCGAACGGGUGAGUAACACGUGGGCAACCUGCCCCUAGCACUGGGAUAACUCCGGGAAACCGGGGCUAAUACCGGAUACGACCUCUGAGGGCAUCCUCCGGAGGUGGAAAGCAUUGUGGCUAGGGGAUGGGCCCGCGGCCUAUCAGCUUGUUGGUGAGGUAACGGCCCACCAAGGCGACGACGGGUAGCCGGCCUGAGAGGGCGACCGGCCACACUGGGACUGAGACACGGCCCAGACUCCUACGGGAGGCAGCAGUGGGGAAUAUUGCACAAUGGGCGAAAGCCUGAUGCAGCGACGCCGCGUGAGGGAUGACUGCCUUCGGGUUGUAAACCUCUUUCAGCAGGGACGAAGCGAAAGUGACGGUACCUGCAGAAGAAGCACCGGCCAACUACGCGCCAGCAGCCGCGGU